rnacentral:lncRNA from 1 species
UAAUCCACUCCAUUACAACUUCAAGGAGAUAGGAUUAGUUACUUCUAUCUGCUCCACUGCAAUGUCAGGGAAGUAAGAUCCGCCGUUGUGGCUUCAAUCUUUUUAAUUGCAAUGUUAGGAAAACUAGAUCCGCCGUCGUAGCUUCAAUCUAUUCCAUUGCACUGCUAAGGAAGUAAGAUCCGCCGUUUUGGCUUCAAUCUUUUUAAUUGCAAUAUUAGGGAAACCAGAUCCGCCGUCGUAGCUUCAAUCUGUUCUACUGCAUUGCUAAGGAAGUAAGAUCCGCCGUUGUGACUUUAAUCCUUUUGAUUGCAAUAUCAGGGAAACCAGAUCUGCCGUCAUAGCUUCAAUUUGUUCCACUGCACUGCUAAGGAAGUAAGAUCCGCCGUUGUGACUUCAAUAUUUUUGAUUGCAAUAUCAGGGAAACCAGAUCCGUCGUCGUAGCUUCAAUCUGUUCCACUGCACUGCUAAGGAAGUAAGAUCCGCUGUUGUGGCUUUAAUCUUUUUAAUUGCAAUAUUAGGGAAACCAGAUCCGUCGUCGUAGCUUCAAUUUGUUCUACUGCACUGCUAAGGAAGUAGAAUUACUGCUUCAAUGUACUCCACUGUAACCACAGGGAGGUAAAAUCUGCCAUCUUCGAUCUGCUCCACUACUGC